CGGCAAGAGAAAAGAAAGAUGGGGUUGGGAGCAUGUCCCUCUGAGGACCCAAGAGAGAGCUGGCCAUGGCAGGCUCCAGUGCUCUCAGAGGACGGGUGCUGCAUCAACGUGGACUCAGGACAUGGCCAGCCCUUCACUGGACAGAUGAGCAGAAAAGCACAGCCUGGACAUCACAGUGGGACCCCAUCUCUACAAAAAAAGUAAAAAAGCCAGUGGGCAUGGUGGCACAUGCCUGUAGUCCCAGCUACUUGGGAGGCUGAGGUGGGAGGAUCACUUGAGCUGGGAGGUUGAGUCUUCAGUGAACUGUGAUCAGGCCCCUGCACUCCAGCCUGGGAGACACAGCGAGACCCCAUCUCAAACAAACAAAUAAAACAAAAAUAUGACAAAAAAGCAGCUCCCCCAGGGUUCCCCAGACACAGGAUCAGGCUCCGUGAUCCUGACUUUGGGUCCAGUGUUCUUCCCCUCCACCGCGUCUCUACCCUGCCUGUCACUGAGCACAAGGACUCCAAUGUUCAGCCAAGGGCCACCCAGUGGCAGAAGAGAAUGAGGAACUUCCUCUGGGUGCAAAAUUUAAUGGGGUGCCCCCAAAAUUCAGAAACCAGGGGAAAUAAUAUUCGAAUGCAAUAUUUUUAAAAGUCCAAAUCAAGGCACAAAAUCUAUGAUGACCAAAAUAUGAAACUUUUAACUAAUGGCAGGAUGAGUAGCUGUGUGGUGACAAGCCGUAUGUAUCAGGGCCCAGGGCAACAGGGAAAAUCAGUCGGCCCAAGCCUGUCUUCCUUUAUGGUCGUGUUAUUUUCUUCACCAGGGACUGCCUGUAUUCAUUUUGAUAUUGUAUUUGUUACCUUUCCUGUGGUGCUGAUAAUUUUGAUAUUUUAAGUGUUAUGUUAAAAUAUAAUUUAUCCCACUGCUGA
rnacentral:lncRNA from 10 species